rnacentral:rRNA from 1 species
CUGGGAUGUGAUGGGGAGCGAAAUUUAGUAGCGAAGUAGCUGAUUUCACACUGUCAAGAAAAGUCUCUAUCGAGGUUAAAGGUACCCGUACCGCAAACCGACACAGGCGGGUGAGGAGAGUAUCCUAAGGCCAGCGAGAGAACUGUUGUUAAGGAACUCGGCAAAAUGACCCCGUAACUUAGGGAUAAGGGGUGCCACCAUCAGG